AUACGGAGGGUGCAAGCGUUACUCGGAAUCACUGGGCGUAAAGCGCGCGCAGGCGGUCUUUUAGGUUGGAUGUGAAAGCCUACGGCUCAACCGUAGAACUGCAUCCAAAACUAUUAGACUAGAGUGUGGGAGAGGAAGAUGGAAUUAGUUGUGUAGGGGUAAAAUCCGUAGAGAUAACUAGGAAUACCAAAAGCGAAGGCAAUCUUCUGGAACACUACUGACGCUGAGGCGCGAAAGCGUGGGGAGCAAACAGGAUUAGAAACCCUAGUAGUCC
rnacentral:rRNA from 1 species